rnacentral:rRNA from 1 species
UACGUAGGUGGCAAGCGUUGUCCGGAUUUACUGGGCGUAAAGAGCGCGCAGGCGGUCGUUUAAGUCGAAUGUGAAAGCCCCCGGCUCAACUGGGGAGGGUCAUUCGAUACUGAUCGACUUGAAGGCAGGAGAGGGAAGUGGAAUUCCGGGUGUAGUGGUGAAAUGCGUAGAUAUCCGGAGGAACACCAGUGGCGAAGGCGACUUCCUGGCCUGUUCUUGACGCUGAGGCGCGAAAGCGUGGGUAGCAAACAGG